GACGAACGCUGGCGGCGUGCUUAACACAUGCAAGUCGAACGGUAAGGCCCUUCGGGGUACACGAGUGGCGAACGGGUGAGUAACACAUGGGUGAUCUGCCCUGCACUUCGGGAUAAGCCUGGGAAACUGGGUCUAAUACCGGAUAGGACUCCUGGCUCCAUGGUUGGGGGUGGAAAGCUUUUGCGGUGUGGGAUGGGCCCGCGGCCUAUCAGCUUGUUGGUGGGGUAUUGGCCUACCAAGGGGACGACGGGUAGCCGGCCUGAGAGGGUGACCUGCCACACUGGGACUUAGAUACGGCCCAGACUCCUACGGGAGGCAGCAGUGGGGAAUAUUGCACAAUGGGCGCAAGCCUGAUGCAGCGACGCCGCGUGAGGGAUGACGGCCUUCGGGUUGUAAACCUCUUUCAGCUAUGACGAAGCGCAAGUGACGGUAGUAGCAGAAGAAGGACCGGCCAACUACGUGCCAGCCGCCGCGGUAA
rnacentral:rRNA from 1 species